rnacentral:rRNA from 2 species
GAGUCGUAGGCGGUAGCCGUAGACCUGCACUUCGAGCGGCAGCGGGUCCUUCGGGAUGCCGGCAAGCGGCGGACGGGUGAGUAAUGCCUAGGAAUCUGCCUGGUAUUGGGGGAUAACUCGGGGAAACUCGAGCUAAUACCGCAUACGUCCUACGGGAGAAAGCGGGGGAUCUUCGGACCUCGCGCUACCAGAUGAGCCUAGGUCGGAUUAGCUAGUUGGUGAGGUAAAGGCUCACCAAGGCGACGAUCCGUAGCUGGUCUGAGAGGAUGAUCAGCCACACUGGAACUGAGACACGGUCCAUACUCCUACGGGAGGCAGCAGUGGGGAAUAUUGGACAAUGGGCGAAAGCCUGAUCCAGCCAUGCCGCGUGUGUGAAGAAGGUCUUCGGAUUGUAAAGCACUUUAAAUUGGGAGGAAGGGCAUUAGUUAAUACCUUGCUGUUUUGACGUUACCGACAGAAUAUGCCCCGGCUAACUUCGUGCCAACCGCCCCUAAUACCAAGGGUGCAAGCGUUAAUCGAAUUACUGGGCGUAAGCCGCGUAGUGGUUUGAUAAUUGGAUGUGAAACCCCGGGCUCAACUGGGAAAUUGC